rnacentral:rRNA from 2 species
GACCCUUGCCUCAGGCAGUGAGCACCUUCGGGGUACUCGAGCGGCAGAGACGGGUGAGUACCACGUGAGUAACCUGCCCCAGGCUUUGGGAUAACCCCGGGAAACCGGGGCUAAUACCGGAUAUGACCAUCUGUCGCAUGGUGGGUGGUGGAAAGAUUUUUUGGCUUGGGAUGGGCUCGCGGCCUAUCAGCUUGUUGGUGGGGUGAUGGCCUACCAAGGCGGCGACGGGUAGCCGGCCUGAGAGGGCGACCGGCCACACUGGGACUGAGACACGGCCCAGACUCCUACGGGAGGCAGCAGUGGGGAAUCUUGCACAAUGGGCGGAAGCCUGAUGCAGCGACGCCGCGUGAGGGAUGACGGCCUUCGGGUUGUAAACCUCUUUCAGCAGGGACGAAGCGUUUGUGACGGUACCUGCAGAAGAAGCGCCGGCCAACUACGUGCCAGCAGCCGCGGUAAGACGUAGGGCGCAAGCGUUGUCCGGAUUUAUUGGGCGUAAAGAGCUCGUAGGCGGCUUGUCGCGUCGACUGUGAAAACCCGUGGCUCAACUGCGGGCUUGCAGUCGAUACGGGCAGGCUAGAGUUCGGUAGGGGAGACUGGAAUUCCUGGUGUAGCGGUGAAAUGCGCAGAUAUCAAUACCACUGGUCGUCCUGAGUUUGAUGCUCUGGCCUACAGGUAUUACAUAACCCUGGUACUACCUGAAGUUUGC